rnacentral:rRNA from 1 species
AGAGUUUGAUCCUGGCUCAGGACGAACGCUGGCGGCGCGCCUAACACAUGCAAGUCGAACGAGCGAGAGAGAGCUUGCUUUCUCGAGCGAGUGGCGAACGGGUGAGUAACGCGUGAGGAACCUGCCUCAAAGAGGGGGACAACAGUUGGAAACGACUGCUAAUACCGCAUAAGCCCACGGCUCGGCAUCGAGCAGGGGGAAAAGGAGCAAUCCGCUUUGAGAUGGCCUCGCGUCCGAUUAGCUAGUUGGUGAGGUAACGGCCCACCAAGGCGACGAUCGGUAGCCGGACUGAGAGGUUGAACGGCCACAUUGGGACUGAGACACGGCCCAGACUCCUACGGGAGGCAGCAGUGGGGAAUAUUGCACAAUGGGGGAAACCCUGAUGCAGCGACGCCGCGUGGAGGAAGAAGGUCUUCGGAUUGUAAACUCCUGUUGUUGGGGAAGAUAAUGACGGUACCCAACAAGGAAGUGACGGCUAACUACGUGCCAGCAGCCGCGGUAAAACGUAGGUCACAAGCGUUGUCCGGAAUUACUGGGUGUAAAGGGAGCGCAGGCGGGAAGACAAGUUGGAAGUGAAAUCUAUGGGCUCAACCCAUAAACUGCUUUCAAAACUGUUUUUCUUGAGUAGUGCAGAGGUAGGCGGAAUUCCCGGUGUAGCGGUGGAAUGCGUAGAUAUCGGGAGGAACACCAGUGGCGAAGGCGGCCUACUGGGCACCAACUGACGCUGAGGCUCGAAAGUGUGGGUAGCAAACAGAAUUAGAUACCCUGGUAGUCCACACCGUAAA